GGAAGGAUCAUCAACAAAAAGGGAAGGACGGCGCGGGCGGGCGCAAGCCCGUUCGUUGCCACUCCCGAAAUCCUGUAUUCACCCCAAGUUCCUUUAAAACUUUUAAUAAAAAACUUUGCAAAAAAGACCACCUUCGUCUGGUGGCGCUUAAUGCAUACGUGAAAACUUUCAACAACGGAUCUCUUGGCUCUCGCAUCGAUGAAGAACGCAGCGAAAUGCGAUAAGUAGUGUGAAUUGCAGGCUAGAGUGAAUCAUCGAAUUUUUGAACGCAGUUUGCGCUCUCUGGUACCCCAGGGAGCAUGCUUGUCUGAGGGUCGGUAAAACAAAUCAUCAGGACUCUUUCCAGUCUUUUGAUGGUCGAUGGGUGCCAAUCCGGUUAACCCUUUGGGAUAAAAACUGGUCACCUGAAAUAAUAGGGUACCGCACCGUUUAGCGGACUCGUGCAGUAAGCUUUUCUAAGUGACUUCACGAUAAGGCGACGGAAGGCGAGAUUGCCCACGUUUUGGUUUUUCCUUAAAAACCAAAUGCGCCUUUGGCGCAACUUUUCGUAUUCUCGACCUCAGAUCAAGCAAGACUACCCGCUGAACUUAAGCAUAUCAAUAAGCGGAGGAAAAGAAACUAACAAGGAUUCCCCUAGUAACGGCGAGUGAAGCGGGAAGAGCUCAAAUUUUAAAACCGUUCGUCUUUGGCGUUCGGAGUUGUAGUUUGAAGAGUCGUUCUCGACGGGCCGAACCGGCACAAGUCCUCUGGAAGGAGGCGUCAUAGAGGGUGACAACCCCGUCCACGGCCGGACCCGGAUCUGUCACGAACGUACUCCAAGAGUCGAGUAGUUUGGGAUUGCUGCUCAAAACGGGUGGUAAACUCCAUCUAAGGCUAAAUAACGGCGAGAGACCGAUAGCGAACAAGUACCGUGAGGGAAAGAUGAAAAGAACUCUGAAGAGAGAGUUAAAAGUACGUGAAAUUGUUGAAAGGGAAACGCUUGAAGCCAGUCGUGUCGGUGGAAUAUCAACGGUCGAGCGGGCGGAGUCGCUGCGUUGGACAGGGUCAAACCGUCCGCGUGGAGUCGCAAGUUCGUUCUCCGUGCACUAUUUCGCAUGACAGGCCAGCGUCGGUUUCGGGCACGGCACAAUGGCCAGGGAAAGGUGGCCCCUCUCGGGGGGUGUUAUAGUCCUUUGGUAAAUGUCGUGCACGAAACCGAGGAAUGCGGCGGCGAUCCUUCGGGCUUGGACCUUUCCUUUGUGCGGCGGCACGUGCGUUUCGAGCUUGCUCGGGCGCGUGGGCUCAGUCGUUCAAUCAGGGGAGUGCUCCGUACCUACCGCCAAGGACGCUGGCGUAAUGGCUUCAAACGACCCGUCUUGAAACACGGACCAAGGAGUCCAACAGAUAUGCGAGUGUUUGGGUGGCAAACCCUUGCGCGCAAUCAACGUGAUCUUGGUGGGAACCUCUCCGGGGGCGCACCAUCGACCGAUCCUGACACUCGUUGACGGAUUUGAGUAAGAGCAUAUCUGCUGGGACCCGAAAGAUGGUGAACUAUGCCUGAAUAGGGUGAAGCCAGGGGAAACUCUGGUGGAGGCCCGUAGCGAUUCUGACGUGCAAAUCGAUCGUCGAAUUUGGGUAUAGGGGCGAAAGACUAAUCGAACCAUCUAGUAGCUGGUUCCUGC
rnacentral:misc_RNA from 1 species